rnacentral:rRNA from 1 species
UACGGAGGGGGCUAGCGUUGUUCGGAAUUACUGGGCGUAAAGGGCACGUAGGCUGGCGGUUAAGUCGGUGGUGAAAUGCCGAGGCUCAACCUCGGAAUUGCCUUCGAUACUGACGGUCUUGAGUGCGGGAGAGGUGAGUGGAAUUCCCAGUGUAGAGGUGAAAUUCGUAGAUAUUGGGAAGAACACCAGUGGCGAAGGCGGCUCACUGGCCCGCAACUGACGCUGAGGUGCGAAAGCGUGGGGAGCAAACAGG